GUUGUGGAGUGCUUCUGUGAUCCAGCAGCUAGGAGGCUUGGUUGGCUGAUUGGUUUGGGAAUGGAAGUCCUAGCAGUCACUCUUCUAUGGAAAUUGAGUGACCAUGUUAAGUUUGCAUCAAUAUGAUACCAGCAAGAAAGUUCACCAGGAUGAAGUUGUCUAAGGAUAGCUAAUUCAGAUCAGGGAAGAAAUACAGUAGGCAAAAGAUCCAUAUCAAGCAAUAGUAGGAUUGCAUCUAUAAACAGUUGUCAGUAGCCUGUCCAAUAGAACUAAACAUUAUU
rnacentral:SRP_RNA from 1 species